rnacentral:rRNA from 1 species
UACGGAGGGGGCUAGCGUUGUUCGGAAUUACUGGGCGUAAAGCGCACGUAGGCGGCUUUGCAAGUCAGAGGUGAAAGCCCGGGGCUCAACCCCGGGAGGCGGGUGGAUACUGUCAAGCUCGAGUCCGGAAGAGGAGUGUGGAAUUCCUGGUGUAGCGGUGAAAUGCGCAGAUAUCAGGAGGAACACCAAUGGCGAAGGCAGCACUCUGGGACGUGACUGACGCUGAGACGCGAAAGCGUGGGGAGCGAACAGG